rnacentral:rRNA from 1 species
CCUGGUUGAUCCAACCAGUAGUCAUAUGCUUGUCUCAAUGAUUGAGCCAUGCAUGUGUAAAUAUGAACUAUUUCACACUGUGAAACUACGAAUGUCUCAUUAAAUUAGUUAUAGUUUGUUUGAUGAUACGUGGUACUCGGAUAAUCGUAGUAAGUCUAGAGCUAAUACGUGCAUCAAAACCCCAACUUAUGGAAGGGAUGCAUUUAUUAGGUAAAAGUUUGAUGCAAGCUUAUGCCCGUUGCCCUGAUAAUUCAUGAUAACUUGUCGGAUCGCACGGCCCUUAUGUCGACGAUGCAUCAUUAGAAUAUCCGUCCUAUCAACUUUCGAUGGUAGGAUAGGGGCCUACCAUGGUGGUGACGGGUGAUGGAGAAUUAGGGUUUGAUUAUGGAGAGGGAGCCUGAGAGAUGGCUACACAUCCAAGGAAGGUAGCAGGCGUGCAAAUUACCCAAUCCUGACACGGGGAGGUAGUGAUAAUAAAUAACAAUACCAGGCUCUUCGUGUCUGGUAAUUAGAAUGAGUACAAUCUAAAUCCCUUAACGAGGAUCCAUUGGAGGGUAAUUCUGGUGCCACCAGCCGUGGUAAUUCCAGCCCCAAUAGCGUAUAUUUAAGUUGUUGCAGUUAAAAAGCUCGUAGUUUGACCUUGGGUUGGGUCAGUCGGUCCUCCUCACGGUGUGCAGCGCCCGCCUCAUCCCUUAUGCCGGCGAUGCGUUUCUGGCCUUAACUAGCCGAGUCGUGCCUUCGGCGCCGUUACUUUGAAGAAAUUAGAGUGCUUAAAGCAAGCCCACACUAUGGAUAUAUUAGCAUGGUAUAACACCACAGGAUUUCGGUCCUAUUGUGUUGGCCUUCGGGAUCGGAGUAAUGAUUAAGAGGGACGGUCGGGGGCAUUCGUAUUUCAUAGUCAGAGGUGUAAUUCUUGGAUUUAUGAAAGGCGAACUACUACGAAAGCAUUUGCCAGGGAUGUUUUCAUUAAUCAAGAAUGAAAGUUGGGGGCUUGAAGAUGACCAGAUACCGUCCUAGUCUCAACCAUAAACGAUGCCGACCAGGGAUCGGCAGAUGUUGCUUUUAGGACUUUGUUAGCAACUUGUGUGAAAUCAAAGUUUUUGGGUUCCUUGAAAUAUAAUUGCAUUAAGCAAAGUAAAAAAAAGAUUACAAAAUAGUAGAGCAAGCUUCCUAAAGACAAAAUAGGGGAAGGGCCAACCAAAAAGUACUACAAAUCCAAAAAACCAAAAGAACGCAAAAAAUAAGGGUCAGUCCACCGAGGGGAGACCAGAGUCAGGGGGGGGGAUAUCCGAGAGGUAAACAAACACCCAGGCUGACUGAGGAAAAUCCCAUUGCUCUGAGCACUGAUCCCACUCCAUGGAGAAGGCCCAAGAACCGCCAGAAGAGAAGGCGAAAUCAUCCCACACUUAAGGGGAUGACAUCCCCGCCCAAAGAAGUAGAAGGCCCCUUCUUGCUUUUGAGGGGCGAGGUGGCAAUGGGGCCAAGCUGAAGUAACUCUUUUUGCGGCACAAAAGCCCAAGUCCGAGGGCGGCGGCGAGACGGGCCCGUCACCGAGGAGCCAGAGGGAAGGGUGGGGCGGGUUGCCUC